GGGAAGAGUCAUGCUGAAAAUUAAUCCUAAUAUGAGAGAAUAUAGUUAUCUAUUUAAUGUUCCUAUGCUAUAGAUUCUUGAGGGUUUUUUUUUUUUUUAACUUAAAAUUGGUCAUGUUACAGUCAGUUGACCGUGUUGUAUGGGAAAUGCUGGAUCGUGGCCUGAACCUCUGAUUGAUCACCUGAGAAAGAACUUGAAGAGGAAUCACGUGCUUAUCACCAGAAAGAUAUUCAUGGAGAUAAGAGAAUCAUAGGUGUUGAAAAGAACCUCGGGGGAUCAUAAAAUCCAACCCCAAUGAUAAAGCAGGUUCCCUAAAGUAUGUUGCACAAGAAUGCCUCCAGGCAAGUCUUGAAUAUCUCCAGAGGAAAGACUAUAACCUAUUAUUAUUAUGGAUAUUUGUAUACCUGUUACUUAUUGGUGGGGGUGUGGGAGAAAGUGAUCUAACUGUUCAGUUUCUUUUUUUUUUUUUUUACUUUAAUUGGCUUCUUUUCAUACUGUGAUAGUGUUACAGUCUUAAACACUUACUGUUCUCAUCUUUCUUUAAAAGUGGGUGUUAAGGCUUCAGUAGUUGAUACAACUUUUAUCAGCUAUGUGCCCUUCUGUAAGUGAUAUAAUGAUACUGUCAUCCUGAUGCAGAAAGAUGAUAUAAACUCUCUUGAAAAUACUUCAGAUGUUCAUGUCAGCGCCUGCCUUAGAAUGACAGGAAAUCACCGAGCGCAGGGGCAGAUUGGGAUUCUUGAAUAUCAGGGAUUCUCAAAGUACUAGAAUUCAUUAGUGUGUAUUUCUACACUAAAGUUUUGAUGUUCCAUUAAGAAGUGAAGGACCUGAAAAUGGUAAAAUUAAAAACAACAAAGUGUAGCUUUGAAAACCUUAACUUCAGUCUCAGCUUCAUAAUCUAAACUUAACUACUCUGUGUAACAACUCUAAGUCAAAUUAUCCCAUUAUGGGCUGGUUAAUUUUCUACAUUUAGUGAUUUACUACAUUCAGUUACUCUGAAGGAAUUAAUAUAAAGUAUCUAUGUUAAAUUUAUUGGUAUCAUACAGUGAAUUUUGUGAAGUGCUUACAUUAUAUUUUAAAGUAACUCAAAAUAGCUGCUCUACAGAUUUUUUUUAGUCUACCCCUCUUUUCCACGCACUUAACAAAGGCAAAGUGUAUAUAAAGACAAGCUGAUCUCUGUACUGUCAUGUUUGAAUUGUAAUUUCAGCACUGUCUACAAAUGUUUUCAUAUGGACAUAUACAAAACUGUAUCAGUUAAGUAAUUUCAUGGCCAUGCUCUUACUGUCUUUGAUCAAUUAGGUCAUUGUUUCUAGCACGUUCAUUAUGUAAUAUUCAAGUAGGUCAGUCUGUGAAUACUGCCAGAUCCAACUGAGUGAUGUUGAACACCUGGGCAGAAUCACGUUGUGCUCAUCUGUUGUACAGCAUGUUCAGGGAUGUUAAGCAGCAAAUAAACUCUGCUAAUGUUGAUAAGGGUGUACCCAAAGGAGUGUGCACACUUUUAGACUCAGUUCUUAGACUCAGUAAUAUUUUCUCACUAUAGUACUCCUGUGUUAAUCAACAAACCUUCUCAUGGCAGUGAGAAAAUAAAAACAACUAGUAAUCUGUCAGAAAAAUCCUUCCACUUAGAAUUCUGAUAGUGAAGAAAUUGUUUAUGAUACGAUUAUUGAAGGAGAAGGAAAUAAGGUUUUCCCCGUCAUGCUUUGUUUCUCUAUGUUUCUCAAGGUAUCAUGCAGUUCUAAUUCCAUUGACUACAUUGGUUGAGAUUACCGAGAAGGAUGAGAGAUCCCUGAUUACUACAAAUUGUAUAACUGUAAUCAUCCCAGUAAAGAAGAGUAAUUAAUAAGACUAAGCUCAUACUGAAACCUUUCCUUCCUUAAGCACUAAACUACACAUGAGCUGGACACAAUGAAUGUCCUAACAACAAUAAAACUUUAUUUUGGCACCUACUUAACAGACAUUUACACCCUAAAUCAUGUUUCCCUUUAUAGCAAACCACUCAUUGUUAUUUCUUUCGUUUGCAGAGCUACUUAUUUGCUUGGAAAUUAUUCAGUGUAUGAUUGAUUUUAAUAAUUAGGAAAUCUGUAUUUUAUUUUUAAUAACCAGGAAUAUAGAUAAAGAAGUAUCAUGCCUUUAAACUCUUCCAAGAUUAGUGCUGUUUACCUUCAUGCUUUCUGUAGCUUUAUUUGGAGGGGUGGGGGGGGCUGUGGAAAAAGAGUAAUGCCUAAGUUCCUGGGAACUUACGAAUAUCCCAAUGGAGAAUAGGAUUCAUGAUCAAAAUAAAAAGCCAAUCUUAAAGUUAUAUUAAAUCAGUCAGAUUUAGUUGUGUGAACUGCAGCUCCAGGCCCAUAUAAAACUAAGGGAAAAAAUAUUUGAGUGAGUGUGCUCUAUUCCUCAUGAGACGGAUGGGCCUGCAUUAUGAUUCCAGUUAUCCAUUAGAUUUGUAUCUAUAUAAUUUGAUUUGUGUCUGUAUAAUCAGCAGGAACUGCAGUGCCUAAGAAGAACAAAGGUAGGGUUGCUCAUUUUUAGCAAAUGUAAGGUAUAGGUAUUAUGUUUAAAAUGUGAUUUUAGUGUACUUUAAUUUUAAUUUUUGUUUAAUGAAUAAAGUCGAAUAGCUCUCUGCAC
ensembl:lncRNA